rfam:Asian citrus Psyllid, Diaphorina citri - Florida Strain, whole genome shotgun sequence.
ACUAUCGGAGAUGGCAUGUUGAAUGUAGGUGAUACCAAUUUCUAAUGGAUCACUGAAGUAAAGAAACGUUGCGCGUGGUUGGUAUCCGGAUAGGUGACCAUCUGGACAAUCGCGUGCCACUAGCU